GACAGACAGAAAGCCGCGAGGCUCGCCACGAACAGGUCGUCGAUGCUGCUCUGCGGCGACGAUGAUCUCCCUUGCGAGCGGGCUAAGGUCUGAGUAUUCCAAUUCCCUCGACUGGCUCUAGCUGGGCCCGAUGGCAAAUCCGUCGAUGCACGUACCAGAAAUCCGUCGGUGGAUCCAUUCAAAUGCCAAGAUGCCCUCGAGGGCGGAGCAGGAUGCAUCGGCUUGAAAUGCGUGCAGGGAAUUGGGUGCAGUGUUCAACAUCUAAUGUCCUUCGAGGCUAACAUCGACCUCCCGCCAGUAAUCGGUGUCAUUCGUGACGCCCAGAGGUUUAAAUCCAAGCUGCUUCUGCAGACAUCCGGUUCAGCUAUUUGGCUGAGCCAGUUGUCUCUCUGAGUCGAUCUGGCGAUGAUUUACGGUCAAAUCCCUGAAAGAUGGGAUGCUUGGGGACCUUGUCAUGCCGGGUACUGUCCAGAGAUGGUGCUGGUGGAGGUUGCUGCUCAUCGGAUUUGAUUGUUGCCUGUGCUCUUCAGUGCACUUCGCGGCUCGCUUCACGCGAAACUCGAUUCAGACUACUCUUUGUCUGUC
rnacentral:RNase_P_RNA from 2 species